AGCGAUAAUUGAAUUCCAUGGAUCCUCCUUCUGGCGGACAUAGACCAUGGUGCAAUCGAAAGCAGAGAAUAAACCACCCCAAACGGCGAAGCUUCCACCGACGCGCGGCGCAUUCAUCCGGACAGCCUGAGUACCGCCGAUAAUCCUGGUUCCCCUGGGAGAAUUGUAAAGACCUUUAAUAAAGUGAAAAGCUGAACCACCAACAGCUCCCAUGCCGAAAGCGCCGCCAAUAUCAUCGAGAAUGCGAUCGGGGCAAGGUUCCCUGGAAGUUUCCGGCGUUCCCAUAGCGUCGAUACAAUCAGUCUAGGGUUUUUCUCUGUUGUAUGCGUUCACUAGCCACCGCCAAAUUCUAA
rnacentral:lncRNA from 1 species